AUUGAACGCUGGCGGCAGGCCUAACACAUGCAAGUCGAGCGGUAGCACAGGAGAGCUUGCUCUCCGGGUGACGAGCGGCGGACGGUUGAGUAAUGUCUGGGAAACUGCCUGAUGGAGGGGGAUAACUACUGGAAACGGUAGCUAAUACCGCAUAACGUCGCAAGACCAAAGAGGGGGACCUUCGGGCCUCUUGCCAUCAGAUGUGCCCAGAUGGGAUUAGCUAGGAGGUGGGGUAACGGCUCACCUAGGAGACGAUCCCUAGCUGGUCUGAGAGGAUGACCAGCCACACGGGAACUGAGACGUGGUCCAGACUCCUACGGGAGGCAGCAGUGGGGAAUAUUGCACAAUGGGCGCAAGCCUGAUGCAGCCAUGCCGCGUGUAUGAAGAAGGCCUUCGGGUUGUAAAGUACUUUCAGCGGGGAGGAAGGUGUUGUGGUUAAUAACCACAGCAAUUGACGUUACCCGCAGAAGAAGCACCGGCUAACUCCGUGCCAGCCGCCGCCGUAA
rnacentral:rRNA from 1 species